UGCCAGCCGCCGCGGUAAUACGGAGGGGGUUAGCGUUGUUCGGAAUUACUGGGCGUAAAGCGCACGUAGGCGGAUCGGAAAGUUGGGGGUGAAAUCCCAGGGCUCAACCCUGGAACUGCCUCCAAAACUAUCGGUCUAGAGUUCGAGAGAGGUGAGUGGAAUUCCGAGUGUAGAGGUGAAAUUCGUAGAUAUUGGGAAGAACACCAGUGGCGAAGGCGGCUAACUGGCUCGGUACUGACGCUGAGAUGCGAAAGCGUGGGGAGCAAACAGGAUUAGAUAC
rnacentral:rRNA from 1 species